rnacentral:rRNA from 1 species
CCUACGGGAGGCAGCAGUGGGGAAUUUUGGACAAUGGGCGAAAGCCUGAUCCAGCCAUACCGCGUGCGGGAAGAAGGCCUUCGGGUUGUAAACCGCUUUUGUCAGGGAAGAAAUGCUUCGGGCUAAUACCCUGGGGUGAUGACGGUACCUGAAGAAUAAGCACCGGCUAACUACGUGCCAGCAGCCGCGGUAAUACGUAGGGUGCAAGCGUUAAUCGGAAUUACUGGGCGUAAAGCGUGCGCAGGCGGUUCUAUAAGACAGAUGUGAAAUCCCCGGGCUCAACCUGGGAACUGCAUUUGUGACUGUAGAGCUAGAGUACGGUAGAGGGGGAUGGAAUUCCGCGUGUAGCAGUGAAAUGCGUAGAUAUGCGGAGGAACACCGAUGGCGAAGGCAAUCCCCUGGACCUGUACUGACGCUCAUGCACGAAAGCGUGGGGAGCAAACAGGAUUAGAUACCCUGGUAGUCCACGCCCUAAACGAUGUCAACUGGUUGUUGGGAGGGUUUCUUCUCAGUAACGAAGCUAACGCGUGAAGUUGACCGCCUGGGGAGUACGGCCGCAAGGUUGAAACUCAAAGGAUUGACGGCGNGAGAGNGCGAGACGACGACGAGGGAGAGG